GACGAACGCUGGCGGCGUGCUUAACACAUGCAAGUCGAACGGAAAGGCCCUGCUUUUGUGGGGUGCUCGAGUGGCGAACGGGUGAGUAACACGUGAGUAACCUGCCCUUGACUUUGGGAUAACUUCAGGUAACUGGGGCUAAUACCGGAUAGGAGCUCCUGCUGCAUGGUGGGGGUUGGAAAGUUUCGGCGGUUGGGGAUGGACUCGCGGCUUAUCAGCUUGUUGGUGGGGUAGUGGCUUACCAAGGCUUUGACGGGUAGCCGGCCUGGGAGGGUGACCGGCCACAUUGGGACUGAGAUACGGCCCAGACUGCUACAGGAGGCAGCAGUGGGGAAUAUUGCACAGUGGGCGGAAGCCUGAUGCAGCAACGCCGCGUGCGGGAUGACGGCCUUCGGGUUGUGAACCGCUUUCGCCUGUGACGAAGCGUGAGUGACGGUAAUGGGUAAAGAAGCACCGGCUAACUACGUG
rnacentral:rRNA from 1 species